CGAAGGGUGCAAGCGUUACUCGGAAUUACUGGGCGUAAAGCGUGCGUAGGUGGUUGUUUAAGUCUGUCGUGAAAGCCCUGGGCUCAACCUGGGAGUUGCGAUGGAUACUGGGCGAACUAGAGUGUGGUAGAGGACAGUGGAAUUUCCGUGUAGCAGUGAAAUAGCGUAGAGAUCGGAAGGAACAUCUGUGGCGAAGGCGACUGUCUGGGCCAACACUGACACUGAGGCACGAAAGCGUGGGGAGCAAACAGGAUU
rnacentral:rRNA from 1 species